UACGGGGGGGGCAAGCGUUGUUCGGAAUUACUGGGCGUAAAGGGCUUGUAGGUGGCCAACUAAGUCAGACGUGAAAUCCCUCGGCUUAACCGGGGAACUGCGUCUGAUACUGGAUGGCUGGAGUGUGGGAGAGGGAUGCGGAAUUCCAGGUGUAGCGGUGAAAUGCGUAGAUAUCUGGAGGAAUACCGGUGGCGAAGGCGGCAUCCUGGACCAUUACUGACGCUGAGGCGCGAAAGCUAGGGGAGCAAACGGG
rnacentral:rRNA from 1 species